AUUGAACGCUGGCGGCAGGCCUAACACAUGCAAGUCGAACGGUAACAGGAAGCAGCUUGCUGCUUUGCUGACGAGUGGCGGACGGGUGAGUAAUGUCUGGGAAACUGCCUGAUGGAGGGGGAUAACUACUGGAAACGGUAGCUAAUACCGCAUAAUGUCGCAAGACCAAAGAGGGGGACCUUCGGGCCUCUUGCCAUCGGAUGUGCCCAGAUGGGAUUAGCUAGUAGGUGGGGUAAAGGCUCACCUAGGCGACGAUCCCUAGCUGGUCUGAGAGGAUGACCAGCCACACUGGAACUGAGACACGGUCCCGACUCCUACGGGAGGCAGCAGUGGGGAAUAUUGGACAAUGGGGGCAAGCCUGAUGCAGCCAUGCCGCGUGUAUGAAGAAGGCCUUCGGGGUGUAAAGUACGUUCAGCGGGGAGGAAGGGAGUAAAGUUAAUACCUUUGCUCAUUGACGUUACCCGCAGAAGAAGCACCGGCUAACUCCGUG
rnacentral:rRNA from 1 species